UUGGAUGACUGAAUUUCCACGCAACUUCGUUUCCUUCCCUACGUCCUUGUCUCCAUCACUCUCCCCCGAUUCGGCCGCCGACCUCGCCGCUCCUCUAUCCCACGGCCGCCCGCCGCCUUCUCCUCCCUCCCAUCACCUUCUCUACGCCGGCAGGGGCUUCCACCUGUGGAUUGGGGAUCUGCACCGGCGAUGGGCUCCUCCUUCGCCCACGGCAGCGGCUCCGCCUUGCAGGGCCGGGGCGGGAGCGGGAGCGGGCCGUGCUUUGGCCCGGAUCGUCAGCUCUGGCGUGGAGGAGGACCUCUUGUGCGCGGUGGCGGCUGGAGGAGGAGUUGGAUUCGCCAGCAACCGCGACAGAAUCAUCUCAGUAGUCCUUGAUUUUUCUCUACACAAUUGAAUUUCAGUUGCCUGGUGGUCAUUGUGUGCGCAAUUCUCUUAAAUAUUUUGUAUCACUUAUACUCCCUCCGUUCGGAAUUACUUGUCUCGAAAAUGGAUGUAUCUAGAACUAAAAUAUGUCCAGAUACAUCCAUUUCUGCGACAAGUAAUUCCGAGCGGAGGAAGUACGUCUAUACUUCAAAAUAGGUAUGGACAUUGAGUAAUUUCAGCCAACUUGCCGUAUGGUAAUUGCAGGUUGAUUCCUAUUCAGAUUUUGCUUUAGUAUGUUUUUUUACUGAUUUCUCGAUGAUCCCCACAAUCACGAAAUCUGGUCAUUUCCAGGUUUAGCAUAACAUAUUCCUCGAUCUAGCAUUUCUUUUGAUAUAGGAGGUUAUUUUUUACUAAUUGGAGGUUUCAGGCCUCCAUGUUAAUUCUAAGAGGGCAAAGUCUGUUGCAAUAUUUGAUCUUCAGAUCUAACCAUGAUGAAUUUUCUGCCAGGCCCCACUUACGGUUCAUUAUGGUGGUGGAAUGUUGACAAGCUGUGUCUGUCUGUCCACCUAUCAUUCUCUCAAUUGUUCAGUUUAAGCACUUUUGGCAGAAGGCUGGACUUUGGGCAUCGGCCGAAUCAUCCUGAGUACUUCUUGAGUUUUUUCUCUCAGCUGCGGAUUGUAAUUUAUUUGGUAAGCUUUGGCACAUCUUCUUUGCAGCAUGCUCGGUCUCUUUGUGGACAGGUUGGAACGCUAGAGUGUUUGACAACUGUUUUUGGUCUGCGGCUCGAAUGCUCGCUGAGUUGGCCGAACUCAUCACACUAUGGAGCUCGCGUGCUGUCAGAGAGGAAGACAGACAUACUAUGUUGUCUUGGGCAAAUUCACUGAGAUAGUUGUUGAUCACCAAACCUUAUUUCUUUCUCUCUUUUCUUUUGCCUUUCGCCUUUGUAAAGCAUCCUGUUCAGCGGUCUGGUGAUAACCGGUCACACUGUUUUGUGUGGCGCUAAUAUCACCUUCAUGUAAUUGACUCCGGUCACCCAGGCCCACGCCUGCUUUGAAUGCAUAAGGUAGAAAGUGAUAAUACCUUUUUAUUCAAAAAAAGAAGAGUUUGGAUGUGGAGAGCCCGCAGAUGUAGAAAAUAAGGUCGUUAUGGCCUCAAGGAGGCAUACUACGGAUGUGGUAAUUAACUUCCAAAGUUUCAGUUUAGCUCUCUCUCUUUCCAAUUUUUUGGAAGCACAAUCAAAACUUGAAUUGUUACUUGCAAUUCUUAAGUCUUACCUAUUAAACAUGUUUAUGUUUCUUAUGCCUAAAAGUAGGUGGAUCUAAUGUGGUAAUUAUCUGCCAAAUUUCAGAGCUGUCUUUCUUUCUAAAAUUUUGAACUGUUGCCUGCGAUGCUUAGUUUUUUGUACUAUUAAUCAUGUACCUGAUUCUUAUAUAUUUUCAUGCAGCUGCAGAAGAUGGAUGCGAAGAUGUCGAGCAUGUGGCCCUGCGCACAAGAGAAUACAAAUUCACGAAUAAGUAAAACCUAUAUGUCGGAUCGGACAUUCUGUUUCCACUUCUCUACAUCAUGCUGCCCACCGGGCAUGGAUAUUCACCUCCACCAAUUUGAUUGAUCCUAUGUUCUACUUCAGUUUAUCAGCAGACACAAUGUGCACUGACAGAAGAUGGCGGGAACAAUGGUACAAAUUCAACUAUGUAUCUGCCAAAGUUGAUUAUGCUUAACUCUAGGCAUUGCAUUACUAUAUCAUGGUGAACUAUUCUUUGAAGAAUUUGUAGGAGGUACUAGAAAAGUAUGACUUGAUGAGGGAUGCCUUGAUUUUAAAGAACAGCCUGAAAGAAUUUAGUUUAGUAAAAUAUUGUAUAGCCUUCUCGUAAAAGUUUGAUACACUUUUUCAAGAAAACGAACUUUGGUUAAUCAUUAAGCUAUAACUUUUCUCAUAUUUGAACAACAAGGUUAUUUGAGCUCUGCUAAAAAAAGUGGCAAUGUUAAAAAAAAGGUUAUUUUGUGUAAUUUUUGCAAACUUUGUUGAAAGAAGCUACAAAUAAUUGAUUUCGCUGUCAAGUCUACAGUCCAAUGUUAAUCUAGAGGGUGGAAUCUUCAAACUUCGUUGAUGCUUUCUUGUCCGUUUUGAUCUAAUAUAUGUCUGAUGUGGUUUGUAUAAACUUAUGGUGGUAUAAUUAGUUUUACUUUUUUGGGCAGGAUAUAAUAACGUUGUAGAUAGACGGAGACUGAAUCAUUUCACACUACUUUGAUGUCUAUCGAGCCAAUGGGACAGCAAAGAAAUGAAGAACCGGAAGCAGGUUUUCUAUCUUCACGAGCAAGUCGGCUUCUGUAAAGCUUCGCCUGAGCCAUUCCAGCUCUUUCAGAGCCACAAGGUGAUCUGGAAGUCAGUGCAAGGAAGCCGAGGAACCAGGACGCCAACAGUGCGGAGCAGUUUGCCAUCAAGAGGACUAGGCCAAACUCAACAUCUCCCUCGUGCCUCCAUCAACACCGUGUCCCGCAGGGUCGUCCCCAUCCGCGACGACGAGCUACUGUCGUAGCUUUGUCAGCCGCACGGUUAGAGGGAGGCAUCAAGGGCCGGCCACCGCUGCCGGGGCCGACGUGCGUGCAAUUUCUAUUAAUGUAUCUUAUGUUGCCAAACAACAACAUGCUCUUGUCGAUGCUAGAUCGUUGUGGGCGUGGCAUUUCAGUUUCUUCCUCUGGUGAUGUUCCAAUAUAAUAAGUUCCAUCAAAAUUGCAUGUAUAUCACCGCCCAGAUGCCCCUCAAGCGGCGCGCCACGGGCGCGCCCCAACUACUAGUUAUAACCCAUGGUUGUGUC